rnacentral:rRNA from 1 species
GAUGAACGCUGGCGGCGUGCCUAAUACAUGCAAGUCGAGCGAACGGACGAGAAGCUUGCUUCUCUGAUGUUAGCGGCGGACGUGUGAGUAACACGUGGAUAACCUACCUAUAAGACUGGGAUAACUUCGGGAAACCGGAGCUAAUACCGGAUAAUAUUUUGAACCGCAUGGUUCAACAGUGAAAGACGGUCUUGCUGUCACUUAUAGAUGGAUCCGCGCUGCAUUAGCUAGUUGGUAAGGUAACGGCUUACCAAGGCAACGAUGCAUAGCCGACGUGAGAGGGUGAUAGGCCACACUGGAACUGAGCCACGGUCCAGACUACUACGGGAGGCAGCAGUAGGGAAUCUUCCGCAAUGGGCGAAAGCCUGACGGAGCAACGCCGAGUGAGUGAUGAAGGUCUUCGGAUCGUAAAACUCUGUUAUUAGGGAAGAACAUAUGUGUAAGUAACUGUGCACAUCUUGACGGUACCUAAUCAGAAAGCCACGGCUAACUACGUG